GUAGGGUGGCAAGCGUUGUCCGGAAUUAUUGGGCGUAAAGCGCGCGCAGGUGGUUCUUUAAGUCUGAUGUGAAAGCCCCCGGCUCAACCGGGGAGGGUCAUUGGAAACUGGGGAACUUAAGUGCAGGAGAGGAAAGUGGAAUUCCACGUGUAGCGGUGAAAUGCGUAGAUAUGUGGAGGAACACCAGUGGCGAAGGCGACUUUCUGGCCUGUAACUGACACUGAGGCGCGAAAGCGUGGGGAGCAAACAGGAUUAGAUACCCUGGUAGUCCACGCCGUAAACGAUGAGUGCUAGUGUUGGGGGGUUUCCGCCCCUCAGUGCUGCAGCUAACGCAUUAAGCACUCCGCCUGGGGUGUACGGUCGCAAGACCG
rnacentral:rRNA from 1 species